CCUACGGGAGGCAGCAGUGGGGAAUAUUACACAAUGGGGGAAACCCUGAUGCAGCGACGCCGCGUGAGUGAAGAAGUAUUUCGGUAUGUAAAGCUCUAUCAGCAGGGAAGAAAAUGACGGUACCUGAGUAAGAAGCCCCGGCUAACUACGUGCCAGCAGCCGCGGUAAUACGUAGGGGGCAAGCGUUAUCCGGAUUUACUGGGUGUAAAGGGAGCGUAGACGGCAGUGCAAGUCUGGAGUGAAAGGCGGGGGCUCAACCCCCGGACUGCUCUGGAAACUGUACGGCUGGAGUGCAGGAGAGGUAAGUGGAAUUCCUAGUGUAGCGGUGAAAUGCGUAGAUAUUAGGAGGAACACCAGUGGCGAAGGCGACUUACUGGACUGUAACUGACGUUGAGGCUCGAAAGCGUGGGGAGCAAACAGGAUUAGAUACCCGUGUAGUC
rnacentral:rRNA from 1 species